rnacentral:rRNA from 1 species
GUAACGGCUCACCAAGGCUUCGACGGGUAGCCGGCCUGAGAGGGCGACCGGCCACAUUGGGACUGAGAUACGGCCCAGACUCCUACGGGAGGCAGCAGUGGGGAAUAUUGCACAAUGGGCGCAAGCCUGAUGCAGCGACGCCGCGUGAGGGAUGGAGGCCUUCGGGUUGUAAACCUCUUUUGUUUGGGAGCAAGCCUUCGGGUGAGUGUACCUUUCGAAUAAGCGCCGGCUAACUACGUGCCAGCAGCCGCGGUAAUACGUAGGGCGCAAGCGUUAUCCGGAUUUAUUGGGCGUAAAGGGCUCGUAGGCGGCUCGUCGCGUCCGGUGUGAAAGUCCAUCGCUUAACGGUGGAUCUGCGCCGGGUACGGGCGGGCUGGAGUGCGGUAGGGGAGACUGGAAUUCCCGGUGUAACGGUGGAAUGUGUAGAUAUCGGGAAGAACACCGAUGGCGAAGGCAGGUCUCUGGGCCUCACUGACGCUGAGGAGCGAAAGCGUGGGGAGCGAACAGGAUUAGAUACCCUGGUAGUCCACGCCGUAAACGGUGGACGCUGGAUGUGGGGCACGUUCCACGUGUUCCGUGUCGGAGCUAACGCGUUAAGCGUCCCGCCUGGGGAGUACGGCCGCAAGGCUAAAACUCAAAGAAAUUGACGGGGGCCCGCACAAGCGGCGGAGCAUGCGGAUUAAUUCGAUGCAACGCGAAGAACCUUACCUGGGCUUGACAUGUUCCCGACGACGCCAGAGAUGGCGUUUCCCUUCGGGGCGGGUUCACAGGUGGUGCAUGGUCGUCGUCAGCUCGUGUCGUGAGAUGUUGGGUUAAGUCCCGCAACGAGCGCAACCCUCGCCCCGUGUUGCCAGCACGUUAUGGUGGGAACUCACGGGGGACCGCCGGGGUUAACUCGGAGGAAGUGGGGAUGACGUCAGAUCAUCAUGCCCCUUACGUCCAGGGCUUCACGCAUGCUACAAUGGCCGGUACAGCGGGAUGCGACAUGGCGACAUGGAGCGGAUCCCUGAAAACCGGUCUCAGUUCGGAUCGGAGCCUGCAACCCGGCUCCGUGAAGGCGGAGUCGCUAGUAAUCGCGGAUCAGCAACGCCGCGGUGAAUGCGUUCCCGGGCCUUGUACACACCGCCCGUCAAGUCAUGAAAGUGGGCAGCACCCGAAGCCGGUGGCCUAACCCCUUGUGGGAUGGAGCCGUCUAAGGUGAGGCUCGUGAUUGGGACUAAGUCGGAACAAGGUAGCCGUACCGGAAGGUGCGGCUG